rnacentral:misc_RNA from 1 species
ACUCUGCCUCGUGCAGAGAGUGGGAGGCCGGGAAGUUGUUCAAACUUGAUCAUUUAGAGGAAGUAAAAGUCGUAACAAGGUUUCCGUAGGUGAACCUGCGGAAGGAUCAUUACCGAGUAGCUACCUACCUCCGCUGGCCGCGAGUCAGUGGAUGAGUGGGGUGUUUACUACCGUGUGAACCGACUGAAAAAUUUUUUAGGGGUCGGCUCGUUCCGUUAAAAGGGGAGCACCGUGAUGAGCCACCAGCUGGUGAGCCUCGCGGUGGGCUCCUGCCCCGACAGUGUUUUUUAAAGGACACAUUUGAUGUAAAAGACUGAGCGCAGUGAGAGAGAUAUGUUCUAACAUAGAAACAUAAAAGUGUGACAACUUUUGACGGUGGAUCUCUAGGCUCACGCAUCGAUGAAGAACGCAGCCAGCUGCGAUAAGUAGUGUGAAUUGCAGAAUUCAGUGAAUCAUCGAAUCUU